AUUGAACGCUGGCGGCAGGCUUAACACAUGCAAGUCGAGCGGGGGAAGGUAGCUUGCUACUGGACCUAGCGGCGGACGGGUGAGUAAUGCUUAGGAAUCUGCCUAUUAGUGGGGGACAACAUCUCGAAAGGGAUGCUAAUACCGCAUACGUCAUACGAGAGAAAGCAGGGGAGCUUCGGACCUUGCGAUACUAGAUGAGCAUAAGUCGGAUUAGCUAGUUGGUGGGGUAAAGGCCUACCAAGGCGACGAUCUGUAGCGGGGCUGAGAGGAUGAGCCGCCACACUGGGACUGAGACACGGCCCAGACUCCUACGGGAGGCAGCAGUGGGGAAUAUUGGACAAUGGGGGGAACCCUGAUCCAGCCAUGCCGCGUGUGUGAAGAAGGCCUUAUGGUUGUAAAGCACUUUAAGCGAGGAGGAGGCUACUUUAGUUAAUACCUAGAGAUAGUGGACGUUACUCGCAGAAUAAGCACCGGCUAACUCUGUGCCAGCCGCCGCCGUAAGAC
rnacentral:rRNA from 1 species